rnacentral:rRNA from 1 species
UACGUAGGGUGCGAGCGUUGUCCGGAAUUAUUGGGCGUAAAGGGUGCGUAGGCGGCGGAGUAAGUUGGGUGUGAAAUCCCGGGGCUUAACCUCGGAAUUGCAUUCAAUACUGCUUCGCUCGAGUACUGGAGAGGAGGCUGGAAUUUACGGUGUAGCAGUGAAAUGCGUAGAUAUCGUAAGGAAGGCCGGUGGCGAAAGCGAGCCUCUGGACAGUUACUGACGCUGAUGCACGAAGGCCAGGGGAACAAACGGG